CACCAGCCCCUCGAGUGGUGGGGAUGAUUAUUUGGCCUAAAGCGUCCGUAGCCGGCCGGGUAAGUUUCCCGUUAAAUCCAGCGUCUCAAGCGUUGGACUGCGGGAAAUACUGCCUGGCUAGAGAGUGGGAGAGGUCAGCGGUAUUCUGGGGGUAGGGGCGAAAUCCUUUGAUCCCCGGAGGACCACCAGUGGCGAAGGCUGCUGACUGGAACACGUCUGACGGUCAGGGACGAAAGCUGGGGUAGCGAACCGGAUUAGAUACCCGGGUAGUCCCAGCCGUAAACGAUGCAUGCUAGGUGUUGGGUUGGCCACGAGCCACCCCAGUGCCGCAGGGAAGCCGUUAAGCAUGCCGCCUGGGAAGUACGAUCGCAAGAUUGAAACUUAAAGGAUUGGCGGGGAGCACCACCAGGCGUGAAGCCUGCGGUUU
rnacentral:rRNA from 1 species